rnacentral:rRNA from 1 species
UAACACAUGCAAGUUGAACGAAAUUAUUUAAUAUUUACAAAAAAUGUAAAAUAUAUAAUUGAGUGGCGAACGGGUGAGUAACAUAUCUGAAUAGUAUUUUAAAGAUCGGGAUAUAUUCUAUGAAAAUGGCCAGAAAGACCGAAUAACCAAAGAUUAAUCACUUUAAAAAUUGCAGAUAAGAAAUUACAUCUAAUGGUUGGUGAGACAAAAGCUUAGCCAAACUUAUGAUUUUUAGUUGGUAUGGGAGUACGGCCAACCACGUUGGAACUGAAAUAAGGUUCAAGCUCACACGUUGGGGCAGCAGUGAGGAAUAUUGGGCAAUGGGCGAAAGCUUGACCCAGUGAUAGUUCAGGAGUGAGAAUUGGACAGCAAUAUCGCUGUAAAGCUCUUUUGUUAAGGAAGAUAAUGACGCUACUUAAAGAAUAAGCACUGGCUAAUUCUGUGCCAGCAGCCGCGGUAAGACAGGAAGUGCAGACGU